rnacentral:rRNA from 1 species
GACGAACGCUGGCGGCGUGCUUAACACAUGCAAGUCGAACGGAAAGGCCCUGCUUUUGUGGGGUGCUCGAGUGGCGAACGGGUGAGUAACACGUGAGUAACCUGCCCUUGACUUUGGGAUAACUUCAGGAAACUGGGGCUAAUACCGGAUAGGAGCUCCUGCUGCAUGGUGGGGGUUGGAAAGUUUCGGCGGUUGGGGAUGGACUCGCGGCUUAUCAGCUUGUUGGUGGGGUAGUGGCUUACCAAGGCUUUGACGGGUAGCCGGCCUGAGAGGGUGACCGGCCACAUUGGGACUGAGAUACGGCCCAGACUCCUACGGGAGGCAGCAGUGGGGAAUAUUGCACAAUGGGCGGAAGCCCGAUGCAGCAACGCCGCGUGCGGGAUGACGACCUUCGGGUUGUAAACCGCUUUCGCCUGUGACGAAGCGUGAGUGACGGUAAUGGGUAAAGAAGCACCGGCUAACUACGUG